rnacentral:tRNA from 1 species
GGUUUAUUAGUUUAUGAAAAAUAUUAAAUUGCAAGUUUGACGAAGUAAAAUACAUAAACCU